GCAGGGGUAGCCAAGUCUGGUCAAAGGCGCCAGGCUUAAGACCUGGUCCCGUUGUGGGUUCGUGGGUUCAAAUCCCACCCCCUGCA
rnacentral:tRNA from 1 species